rnacentral:tRNA from 1 species
GCCAGCGUGGCAUAGUGGUUUGAGUGUUGGACUAUGACUCUGGAGAUCAGGGUUCGAUUCUCAGCUUGGCC